rnacentral:lncRNA from 1 species
GAUAUUUUUCAAAUCAUCCGCACACACAUGACAAAUAAGCAGAAACAAUAUAUAUUACAUCUAUAAUCGCAUUACAUAGUAGUGUCAAGAAGUUGAUCCGUAGUUAUAGAAAUAUAUUUACAUAUGGCUCAUCUUAAGUCAUUAUGAUCUAGAUCCAAAUAAAAAAAGAAACAAAAUAGACAUUCUUAUGCAAGCUCUUCACCUUCGUAGUGUUCCUGAAAAAAUGAAGAAAAUAAAAUAUAAUAGGUUAAUACAAACCACAUGGAAGGAAGAAACAAUUCAAAUUAGAGAAAGGCUAUGAACAGUGCAUAACACAUGGAACUCUGCAAAAACUAGAACAUAUAAAUCAGUAGAAUCUCGCAUGAAUAAACAUGUGUUACAAGAUUCUGUUGUUUGUGCCCAAGGACUUUCGGCCGACCAAUAAAAUUAAAACUUCUAUUGAUCCACAAGGUAAUGAUAAACAAAGUACAGUACUUGACACCAGAAAUUAAAUAUGCUUCUAAACCACAUGGCUUCUAUUAGUAAUAAAGUUUUGUGCCUAUAUGGACUGUUCUAUCAAUAUGAUGAUCUAUGCCUAUACGGACUGUUCUACUCUAGACUAUGACUAUUGUUAGUCACUCGUUUUCGAUUGCUAUAUGGCAUCAAAAACAAGGCAACACAUAGUUAGAAUGGAAAAACCUUCGCCCUCCUGUCAAUACACCGAAGAUAUAUUGACAAGAGGGCGAAGGAUUUAAUAAAGGCUGAUGCCGAAGCGUUUUAAACACGAGGAAGGUGGUAUGGAAAAAAGGAAACUAUGUGUUGACAGGAGGGCAAAGGUUUUUCCAUUCUAACUAUGUGUUGCCUUGUUUUUGAUGCCAUAUAGCAAUCGAAAACGAGUGACCAACAGUUACCUUCGUCCGGUCUCCAAUAUAUACCUGAAAUACACUUUAUAAUUCUGAAACACGAAUGUUGUGAGGACCUUCGGCGAGGUAGGCCCUCAACAACUAUAUAGGUGUGCAAAAGCUCAAGAGCAGUAAACUUAUAAGCUCUGCAACCAAGCAAAUGCAUACUUAAAAGCUGAAGUGCAUAAUGUCACAGUAAUAAAAUAAUAUUCCACAUAGCAAUGCAUGCCUGAAAAAGAAAGUGCUUCAUAUAGGGAUGAAACUUACGGUUAGCUGCUGAGCAAACUCAAAAUAUCCCGACUUCUCCAGGAACAUGUCAUGAAUGU